GUGCUUGCUUUGGCAGCACAUUUGUUAAAAUGGAAUAACACAGAGAAAAUUAAGAUAGCCCCUGCACAAGACGACAUGCAAAUUUGUGAUGCAUUCCAUAUAAAA